rnacentral:rRNA from 1 species
GAGUUUGAUCAUGGCUCAGAACGAACGCUGGCGGCGUACUUAACACAUGCAAGUCGAACGAGAAAAGACACUUCGGUGUCUGAGUAAAGUGGCGAACGGGUGCGUAACACGUAAGUAAUCUACCUUGGGCACUGGGAUAACUUCUCGAAAGGGGAGCUAAGUCCGGAUAGUGUCCCCGAAACUCAAGUUGCGGGGGGAAAACGGGCCUCUGAUUUAAGCUCGUGGCUCAAGAUGAGCUUGCGGCCCAUUAGCUUGUUGGCAGGGUAAAAGCCUACCAAGGCGACGAUGGGUAGCUGGUCUGAGAGGAUGAUCAGCCACACUGGCACUGAGACACGGGCCAGACUCCUACGGGAGGCAGCAGUGGGGAAUUUUGCGCAAUGGGCGAAAGCCUGACGCAGUAACGCCGCGUGGAGGAUGAAGGCCCUCGGGUCGUAAACUCCUGUCAGGGGGGAAGACGAAAGCGGGACGAAUAGUUCCGUUUUUCAGACGGUACCCCCAAAGGAAGCCCCGGCUAAUUCCGUGCCAGCAGCCGCG